CUGAGGGUUGUGUGUCGCAAUACUCCUAAGCUUGCGGCUGGUGAGGGGAAACUAGAGAGAUCUCAGUUAAAGUGGGACGACUUCCUUCUACAAAUCAUAACUCUCCCUAGAAAACUCCUGCUAAGAUGGGUGAGUAUUCAGCAGUCUAUGUGAGGACCUACGCAGCUGGCAUCACCCAAGAGAAAACUUUGGAAUUCUAGACCUGGAAAAGGACAUAUGAAUUGGAGGACCCGGCUGCUCCUGGAAUAGUCUUGGCCUUCCGAGAGAGAAUGGGUCGAGGAGGACUGGGCGGCGGAUGAGAGGAUAACGAACAAACCCGAGCUCUCCGUCAAUGUCCUGUUCCCCCCCGCCCCCCCCGCCCCGUGAAAUUGAAUCCCCUGUUAUGCCUUUUAAUAUUUUCUGCUAGGGAAUUCUAACAAGUUCAGACUUCAGUCAAAACCGAUGGGAUGAUGACCUCUGUACCUCUAAAAGUCCAGAAAAGCUAGCGCUUAGCGUCGUGUCUUAAGCUCUCCAGAAAUCGGCACAAAACUCCGCUGGCUUUAGCUGAAACUCAUUCCUGGAGAAGGCAGAAGGCAGGAGCAGAAUUCCUGAGCGGGUGGGAAGCAAUACCACAAUUGAAUUCCCCCUCUUCCACACCCUAUCUCCCUAUCUGAGCCACUGCCUAUAUUUCACCCAACUCCUGAGAGUCCAAAUCACUCCUUAUCAAGGGUUCCUGCCUUCAUUCAAAGGGCCCUUCUCCUUUUUCUUUCCUCAACCCUGUCCAUGGGAUUCUAUGUAGGACUAGUUUACCUUAUUCCCUUCUCUCUCCUUAAACCUCACACCUGGCUGCCAGCCAAGGGGCCAAAGGGACUAGAGAACUAUAUCUCCAGAGAAGGGAAAAGAUUUUCCAAGAUCUCUUAGAUUUGAAAGAUGCUUCACUCUUCAUGUCAGUAUCUAUACAAAGCCUGGCUGCCCUCUCCCAUCCACUCUCUAGAUUUGAGUUGGAUUUGUAGGUACCUAACAGUCACAAAACAGCUCAAGACUCUCCCCAUGUUAUGGAGCCCUGGGAAGAUCUGAUGAUAAAACUGGUUCUCCUCUUUCCCACCCCUACUGUGGUGGUGGUGGGGUAUCUAUCUCCAGGCAUCAAUCUCCUGAUCUGAAAAAGGAAGAGCCUGAAUUUCUAACAUCCUUUGGCUCCUAAACUUAAUCUACUCUUCACCACUUCCCAUGGAAGAUAAAAUGGUAGGCCCAGGUCAGACAGGUAUUCAAGUAACCUUCACAAAGUACAAUUUACAAAGGAUAUUUCCUUAAGAAUUAAAGGCUAAAAACUUAGGCUCCCUCAGUCCCUCAGUAGGCCUACUUUUAAAUGACAAAUAUCCUGAAGCCAGGAUUUUACUGGAAAUGUAAUUAAUUCACAGGCAGAAUCAGUAUCAUUGUCCUAAACUCUGGAUAUUGUGGGGGGGUGGGAUGGGAGGAAGGAAUAAAACUCUCAAUUCAGUCUAAUUCUACAAAGUUGCAUCUACACAGAUGAGCUGGAAAGGCAAGGUAACUAUCAGAAUUCUUAUUUCCCUUUCCCUUCAAAAAAAAAAGUUCUGAACAGUCUACCAUUAAGUAAGAAUAAGAGGUUUUAAAAUAUCUGAAUAGGUCCUUUAUAUCCCAAGGAUUUGGUGUCAGAGAAUUCCUGGCUCUGCUAUCCAUGAGAACUUGGGCAAGUUGCUUCACUAUUCUUGACUUGUUUUACCAAUUAAAAAAAACCACAAUAACACAAUGUAUUGUCCAUUUUAGCUUUCUGUAGGCAAGUUAAGAAAAAUAAAAUGUGACUUCUAGUCCUAAGAGUAAAUAAAUCAGCUGAAAAUUA